AAUACCAGCUCUCCGAGUGGUGUGGAUGUUUAUUGGGCCUAAAGCAUCCGUAGCUGGCUAGGUCAGUCCCUUGUUAAAUCCACCGAAUUAAUCGUUGGAUUGCGGGGGAUACUGCUUGGCUAGGGGACGAGAGAGGCAGACGGUAUUUUCGGGGUAGGGGUGAAAUCCUAUAAUCCCGGGAAGACCACCAGUGGC
rnacentral:rRNA from 1 species